rnacentral:rRNA from 1 species
UACGUAGGUGGCAAGCGUUGUCCGGAAUUAUUGGGCGUAAAGCGCGCGCAGGCGGUCCUUUAAGUCUGAUGUGAAAGCCCACGGCUCAACCAUGGAGGGUCAUUGGAAACUGGGGGACUUGAGUGCAGGAGAGAAGAGUGGAAUUCCACGUGUAGCGGUGAAAUGCGUAGAGAUGUGGAGGAACACCAGUGGCGAAGGCGGUUCUCUGGGACGGUACUGACGCUGAGACGCGAAAGCGUGGGGAGCGAACAGG